GUGGGUAGAGCUCAGUGGUAGAGCACGUGCUUAGCAAGCAUGAGGUCCUGAGUUCAAUCCCCAGCACCUCCA
rnacentral:tRNA from 1 species